rnacentral:rRNA from 1 species
GAUGAACGCUGGCGGCAUGCCUAAUACAUGCAAGUCGAACGAGAGGAAGGAAAGCUUGCUUUCCUGAAUCUAGUGGCGAACGGGUGAGUAACACGUAGGUAACCUGCCCAUGUGCCCGGGAUAACUUCUGGAAACGGAUGCUAAAACCGGAUAGGUAGCAGACAAGCAUUUGACUGCUAUUAGAGUGGCCUUGGCCAUGAACAUGGAUGGACCUGCGGUGCAUUAGCUGGUUGGUGAGGUAACGGCCCACCAAGGCGACGAUGCAUAGCCGGCCUGAGAGGGGCGACGGGCCACAUUGGGACUGAGACACGGGCCCAAAUCCUACGGGAGGCAGCAGUGAGGAAUAUUGGGUCAAUGGACGCAAGUCUGAACCAGCCAUGCCGCGUGCAGGAAGACGGGCUCUAUGAGUUGUAAACUGCUUUUGACUAGGGUAAACUCAGAUACGCGUAUCU